rnacentral:rRNA from 1 species
GGGAUUGCCUCAGUAACGGCGAGUGAAGCGGCAACAGCUCAAAUUUGAAAUCUGGCCCUUCCCGGGUCCGAGUUGUAAUUUGUAGAGAGUGUUUCGGGCGAGACCGCGGUCUAAGUCCAUUGGAACAUGGUGUCAUAGAGGGUGAGAAUCCCGUAUGCGACCGUGGUUCGAGCCCAUGUGAAGCCUCUUCGACGAGUCGAGUUGUUUGGGAAUGCAGCUCUAAAUGGGUGGUAAAUUUCAUCUAAAGCUAAAUACUGGCUGGAGACCGAUAGCGCACAAGUAGAGUGAUCGAAAGAUGAAAAGCACUUUGGAAAGAGAGUUAAAAAGUACGUGAAAUUGUUGAAAGGGAAGCGCUUGCAACCAGACCUGCCCGUAGGCGAUCAGCCGCUGUUCUCAGCGGUGCACUCGUUCUGCGAUCAGGCCAGCAUCGGUUUGGGCGGUCGGAUAAAGGCCUUGGGAAUGUAGCUUCCUUUCGGGGGAGUCUUAUAGCCCUCGGUGCAAUGCGGCCAGCCGGGACCGAGGACCGCGCUUCGGCUAGGAUGCUGGCGUAAUGGUUGUCAGCGACCCGUCUUGAAACACGGACCAAGGAGUCUAACAUCUAUGCGAGUGUUUGGGUGUCAAACCCAUACGCGGAAUGAAAGUGAACGGAGGUGAGAACCCUUAAGGGCGCAUCAUCGACCGAUCCAGAUGUCUUCGGAUGGAUUUGAGUAUGAGCAUAGCUGUUGGGACCCGAAAGAUGGUGAACUAUGCCUGAAUAGGGUGAAGCCAGAGGWAACUCUGGUGGAGGCUCGCAGCGGUUCGUGCAAAUCGAUCGUCAAAUUUGGGUAUAGGGG